AUGUUAAAAAAAGUUUGGACUCACCAUCUGACCUCCCCUUCCCUUACCGAGGCAGCCACCACAACCUCAAGCCGAGCUCCCGCGCCCACCGGCGAGAUCUGGUCCCGAACCCCCGCAGCAGGGCAUCGUCGGAGGGCUGGCCACGACCACGCCGAUCCGGAGCCCGGAGAGCCCUGGUGCAGAUCAACGCGGAGAGCCCAACCAGCUCCCGCGCGCUCAGGCCCGGCCACCACAAGCCCAUACGCAGACGUGAAGCAUCGGUCGCAGGCGAGACUGCCGGAGAAAUCGGAUCGUCAAGAUGCUGCAGAAGAAAGCUGCUGCAGAUUGGGGGUCGGAUCCGUGCUCGAUCCAGGCGCCACGGUCAAGGAAAGGGUGUUGGUGCUUUGGUGA
rnacentral:rRNA from 1 species